rnacentral:rRNA from 1 species
AAGCGGUGGAGCAUGUGGUUAAUUCGAAGCAACGCGAAGAACCUUACCAGGCCUUGACAUGCAGAGAACUUUCCAGAGAUGGAUUGGUGCCUUCGGGAACGUCUGACACAGGUGCUGCAUGGCUGUCGUCAGCUCGUGUCGUGAGAUGCUGGGUUAAGUCCGUAACGAGCGCAACCCUUGUCCUUAGUUACCAGCACGUUAUGGUGGGCGACUCUAAGGAGACUGCCGGUGACAAACCGGAGGAAGGUGGGGAUGACGUCAAGUCAUCAUGGCCCUUACGGCCUGGGCUACACACGUGCUACAAUGGUCGGUACAAAGGGUUGCCAAGCCGCGAGGUGGAGCUAAUCCCAUAAAACCGAUCGUAGUCCGGAUCGCAGUCUGCAACUCGACUGCGUGAAGUCGGAAUCGCUAGUAAUCGUGAAUCAGAAUGUCACGGUGAAUACGUUCCCGGGCCUU